rnacentral:rRNA from 1 species
AGCGAACGCUGGCGGCAGGCUUAACACAUGCAAGUCGAGCGGGCAUCCUUGUGGUGUCAGCGGCAGACGGGUGAGUAACGCGUGGGAACGUGCCCUUCGGUUCGGAAUAACUCAGGGAAACUUGAGCUAAUACCGGAUACGUGCGAGAGCAGAAAGGUUUAUCUGCCGAAGGAUCGGCCCGAGUCUGAUUAGGUAGUUUGUGAGGUUAUGGCUCACCAAGGCGACGAUCAGUAGCUGGUCUGAGAGGAUGAUCAGCCACACUGGGACUGAGACACGGAACAGACUACUACGGGAGGCAGCAGUGGGGAAUAUUGGACAAUGGGGGCAACACUGAUAAAGCCAUGCCGCGUGAGUGAUGACGGCCUUAGGGUUGUAAAGCUCUUUUCUCCGGGACGAUAAUGACGGUACCGGAGGAAUAAGCCCCGGCUAACUUCGUG